rnacentral:rRNA from 1 species
CAAUAGCGUAUAUUAAAGUUGUUGCGGUAAAAAAGCUCGUAGUUGGAUUUCUACCGAAGAUAGCCGGUCGGGUCUUCGACCUUGUAUCUGGUUUUGUCUUUGGUAUCCUCAUAGGGAACGUUUCUGCGCUUUAUUGCGUGGUGCGGUAUCUAUGGCUUUUACUUUGAGGAAAUUAGAGUGUUCACGGCAGGCAAACGCCUUGAAUAUAUUAGCAUGGAAUAAUAACAUAGGAUCUUCGUCCUAUUUUGUUGGUUUCUAGGGCUAAGAUAAUGAUUAAUAGGGAUAAUUGGGGGCAUCUGUAUCAACGCGUCAGAGGUGGAAUUCUUGGAUUGCGUUGCGACAAACUACUGCGAAAGCAUUUGCCAAGGAUGUUUUCAUUGA